CCUACGGGAGGCAGCAGUAGGGAAUAUUGCUCAAUGGGGGAAACCCUGAAGCAGCAACGCCGCGUGGAGGAUGACGGUUCUCGGAUUGUAAACUCCUUUUGGUAAGGGAGCUAAUGACGGUACCUAACGAAUAAGCACCGGCUAACACCGUGCCAGCUGCCGUGGCAAUGAGUAGGGUGCAAGCGUUAUUCGGAAUCACGGGGCGUAAAGAGCGCGUAGGCGGGAUUGCAAGUCAGCUGUGAAAUCCUAUGGCUUAACCAUAGAACUGCAUUUGAAACUGUUAUUCUAGAGUAUGGGAGAGGUAGGUGGAAUUCUUGGUGUAGCGGUCAAAUCCGUAGAGAUCAAGAGGAAUACUCAUUGCGAAGGCGGCCUGCUAGAACAUAACUGACGCUGAUGCACGAAAGCGUGGGGAGCAAACAGGAUUAGAUACCCUAGUAGUC
rnacentral:rRNA from 1 species